GAUGAAGAACGCAGCGAAACGCGAAAGGUAAUGCGAAUUGCAGAAUCAGUGAGUCGUCGAAUCUUUGAACGCACAUUGCGCCUCUAGGUAUUCCUGGAGGCACGCCUGUUCGAGCGCCAUUACACACUCCAAGCUCUGCUUGAUGUUGGACGACCCGAGAGAUCGGACGUCUGGAACGUGUGGGCGUCGGGCGUCGGACCACGAGCGUAGCAAGACCAUCAAACAGUCAAGUCGUUCUGUGGAGCCGGCGGUCGACCGCCUCUUUUUACAACUUUAACCACAAGUUUGGCCUCGGAUCAGGCGGGGAUACCCGCUGAACUUAAGCAUAUCAAUAAGCGGAGGA
rnacentral:misc_RNA from 1 species